rnacentral:rRNA from 1 species
GAUGAACGCUGGCGGCGUGCUUAACACAUGCAAGUCGAACGGUGAAGCUCCAGCUUGCUGGAGUGGAUCAGUGGCGAACGGGUGAGUAACACGUGAGCAACCUGCCCCUGACUCUGGGAUAACAGCCGGAAACGGCUGCUAAUACCGGAUAUGCACCAUGAACGCAUGUUCUGUGGUGGGAAAGAUUUUUCGGUUGGGGAUGGGCUCGCGGCCUAUCAGCCUGUUGGUGAGGUAAUGGCUCACCAAGGCGUCGACGGGUAGCCGGCCUGAGAGGGUGACCGGCCACACUGGGACUGAGACACGGCCCAGACUCCUACGGGAGGCAGCAGUGGGGAAUAUUGCACAAUGGGCGAAAGCCUGAUGCAGCAACGCCGCGUGAGGGAUGACGGCCUUCGGGUUGUAAACCUCUUUUAGCAGGGAAGAAGCGAGAGUGACGGUACCUGCAGAAAAAGCGCCGGCUAACUACGUG